GCCCAGCUCUGGGAAGCCCUGAAGGCUUAGUGGAAUUGAUGCAGCUACAGACUAGGGCCAGUGGGCUGGGAGAAAGCCCUGCUGGGCCACAGACAUUUGGGCAGUGGAGUGGACCAGGAGAGAAUGAGGGGCGGAUAUAUGUCCCCACUCCCCAUGUUUGCAGAGGCAGCCCUUUGGAAUGAGGACAGCGGGACUCAGACAAGCCCUGACUAAGCCCAGUCUGCAGGCUUGCUUCUGGAAGAGGUGGGCCACGCAUCUCUCAGAUCCCAUAGCUGGGUUUAAGAUUUCCAACUUCUCCCCAUAGACUUUAACAGACUAUUUAGGAAGGCUCAAAACUAAGAUGAGUUCAUAUAUAAAAACUCAAAUCCUUUAGAACCUCUGUAUCCUGCUUCCAGCUUCCUCUGCAUCACAAACACCCCCACCCCCAGUCACUUCUCCUUUAUCUCUUUUUGUUUUGUUUUUGGGUUUUCUCUGUGCAACAGUCCCGACUGUCCUGGAAUUCACUUUAUAGACCACACUUGGCUUUGAACUCGCUACAAUCCGCCUGCCUCUACCUCCCAAGUGCUGGCAUCAAAGGCAUGCGCCACUCAGCCCAGCAAUCCUUUAUCUCAUUACACAAAUAUGAGAUGACGGUGUCUGCUUUCUACCCUCCUUCCCAAAUGCUGUGAGAAUGAGGAAUGACCCAGCAGGUGCCUGUGCAGCUCCAGGAAAUGAGAUCUCUUCCUGCACCACAAACCUGGAGGUGAAGUAGGUUAAGCAAAGAGGAAGGCAACUCGAUGCCUGCUGUGCAGGUUUAUCAAAAUGUUUAAGGAAAAGAUGAGCAGGAUUAAGACACUCCUUUGAACAGUGGUACAUCUUGGACAGGUUUAGGCUUGGUGGCCACAGAGGAGAGCAAAUUUAACUUGCCUCUGGGGGGUUGUGGGGUACCUGUGACCUCAGCCUUAAUGAGCAUCAUAUGUUCAACAGCAUUCCAAACCACAAGGGGCUUAGGCAGGCCCCCACAUUAAACCCUUGCUGCUGCCUCCCUCCGGCUACGUGCUCUUCUGUGUGGAGGAGGACGGCACAGGCUGUGAGCUUCAUUCACACAUCCAUCUCACAGAUGCUUAUACCUACUAUGGAGGGACCUUCUCUGAGGAGAUGCAAAGAAAUAUCUAGAAUGUCUGUUUACCUCAGAUACAUACCACGGAUUCCACCAGAGACCAGCUUGUUGAACUGAGGAGUUUAUCAGAGCUACUACUUAGAGGACCAUGAGUGACUCCAAGGUAGCCAUACCACUGAAGAGUCCCACCCAGACCCCCAAAACCCCAGAAGCUGCACCACUGAAGAGACCCUUACAUAAUUUACAGCAGCUUUGCUAUUGAACCAUCCUUUCCAAACACUGCUUACAUUUUAUAUAACCUGGGGAGAUGCAGAGGGCCUCAUCAGGACCCCUGGAGGGAAUGAUAAUGGGCUGGAUUUCAUGAGGGUCUUCUGUGGACAUGGAGAUGCUCUGAUUGAAGGCAGCAGUGGGCGUGUCUGUCCACUGUGAAGAAGACAGCGGAGACAGCUGGACCUCAGAGUAGCAGCAGCUGACGAAAGCACAGCUCAGGGGCUCAGUAGUUCUGAGGCACUUUGGUUUGCGUGUUAGAUUGGCCACAAACUCACCCACAGGGAAAUGGAUCUUUUAGCUGUUAAUGAGCCUGGCUAACCUUAGUCGGGUCUCAGAAGGACUCACUAUUUCUGUCCAUAGGGUUCUCAUUCAUCCUUCAAGGUCAAUGCAAGGC
rnacentral:lncRNA from 1 species